rnacentral:tRNA from 1 species
GGGGCUGUCGGCUAGCAUGGUUCAGGCUGCCAGCCUCGGGCGCUGGUGAUCGCCGGUUCAAAUCCGGCCAGCCCCACCA